rnacentral:rRNA from 1 species
AGUGAACGCAGGCGGCAGGCCUAACACAUGCAAGUCGAACGGCAGCACAGCAGUAGCAAUACUGUGGGUGGCGAGUGGCGGACGGGUGAGGAAUACAUCGGAAUCUGCCUUAUCGUGGGGGAUAACGUAGGGAAACUUACGCUAAUACCGCAUACGACCUACGGGUGAAAGCGGAGGACCUUCGGGCUUCGCGCGAUAAGAUGAGCCGAUGUCGGAUUAGCUAGUUGGCGGGGUAAAGGCCCACCAAGGCGACGAUCCGUAGCUGGUCUGAGAGGAUGAUCAACCACACUGUAACUGAGACACGGUCCAGACUCCUACGGGAGGCAACAGUGGGGAAUAUUGGACAAUGGGCGCAAGCCUGAUCCAGCCAUGCCGCGUGGGUGAAGAAGGCCUUCGGGUUGUAAAGCCCUUUUGUCCGGAAAGAAAAGCACUGGGUUAAUACCCUGGUGUUCUGACGGUACCGGAAGAAUAAGCACCGGCUAACUUCGUGCCAGCCGCCGCGGUAA